AGAGGGAAGGAGGAUGGCAAAACGACCUCGAUGGCUGUUGCGGCCAAAGGUGAUGCCGUCAAUACGUCACCGGGAGCCUGGAGGUUAGGCUGUGAUUUCGAGUCGAGGCAUCUUGGAGCAUGACGUCACCUGAAGACAGAGCGCCGCAAGCAUUGCACAACGUUCCACUGCCUCCUUAACUCAUCGAGAUCGAAAAUCAAGGCGUACGCCUGAACGAACGACGAAGAUCCAUCGUCACAACAAGUAAAUAGGGUGUCCGACGGAACGUAUGUGCAACAGAAAACUACGUCGUGUAAUGGAAGCUAUCAUCGACAUCCACUAAAGACACCAAGCUCUUCACGUAUACUGGGACACUGGCGGGACACCGCCAAAACACUAGUUCUCUCAACGUUUUUACCGGAGUUCGUGCGAAGCGAGACAUUGGAAGAAUGCAGUGUUCGCUUCCAUAGCGUGCAAUAAGAACAACGAAGGAAAAGAACGGCGCGGGUACAGCGCUGACAUUGGGAUUUGCCUGUGAUUUGUGGUUGGCAGGACAGUCAGUUACUGGCCACCCCAACCGAUCGCGAAGGUGGCCCAAAGUCUUCCUGUCCCGAAUCAACGCACAGUCACAGCACCACAAGGAUGUUUACGAAGCAGAUGCGAGCUACAGUAAAUGGUCUCACCAGACUUCUCUGUCUACUGCCUAAAGAAGCUCGCUUGGCUAUGCGGACCAUCGCACGAACGCUCCGCAGCCAUCAAUCAAUAAGGACAACGGUACACUUGUCCUCGUAUCUGCACGUGACACUUCGAGAGAAAGUCCUUCUAGACCGUGACAGCCCUGUUCUCAGCCAGUAAUCCCAAAUCGCAACGGUGAAUCCUGUAGGCCGCUACAUCUGAUGUCUGACUUCAUGGAAGCACAGCCGUCAGCAACAGAUCAAAAGACAUCAACAAAACAAAUAUGGCGGUUCUCACAACAUUGCCCUGUCCAGCAUGGCUUCCGUUCAACGCUGCCGGGUCCACGAAGAGUCCCGCACUAACGUAUCCACGGAAGGCAUCUAGAAUCACAGUCCACACAAUCACAACAUCUUGCGUCCAGGUCCGUACUUCGCAGCUGCCUCCGACGUCCCUCCAGCCAUACGUGAAGCACCAAUGACGUCACACGAUUCGCAGAAGACUCCGGCUGAACGCCCCGAAACACAACCCGCGAAGACAGUCCGACGGCUGCAUAAUCAGCGAAGAAAGGCCGACGUAUCGAAUCGCCUCGUCGCCGGUGGUGAUGGCCCCCUCAAGAUUCGAGGAGGAGUCAUCGAACUCGGCGCCCCCAGCUGCCGCCAAAACAACGCCGACAAAGGGUUCAUAAAUCGCCGUCACCGGGCACUAAGCGGUGGACCAAACAAGCGUGUGACGUCAAAAGGGUGACGUCAAGGAUGCCAGACACCAGACGGCGCGACGCCCACGGAAGCAGACAACGUGAAGUGAUCGAUGCAGAAGAAGCGCGGUAAAAACUACGCCGAGCGAAGCUUUUAAUGGGAAGUCAAGGCGAGAGAAUAAAUCAGUUCGUUCUGAUAAAUUA
rnacentral:lncRNA from 1 species